rnacentral:rRNA from 1 species
UACGGAGAGUGCAAACGUUGUUCGGAUUCACUGGGCGUAAAGGGCACGUAGGCGGCUCGGCAAAUCGGUCGUGGAAUCUCGACGCUUACCGUCGAAACGGCGGCCGAAAAUACCGGGCUCGAGGGCGUGAGGGGUCACUGGAACUCCUGGUGAAGCGGUGAAAUGCGUAGAUAUCAGGAGGAACGCCGGAGGCGAAAGCGGCUUCCUGGACCGACACUGACGCUGAGGCGCGAAAGCUAGGGGAGCAAACGGG